rnacentral:rRNA from 1 species
GAUGAACGCUGGCGGCGUGCCUAAUACAUGCAAGUCGAACGAAACUUCUUUAUCAUCGAGUGCUUGCACUCACCGAUACAGAGUUGAGUGGCGAACGGGUGAGUAACACGUGGGCAACCUGCCCACAAGAGGGGGAUAACACUAGGAAACAGGUGCUAAUACUGCAUAACCAUAGUUACCGCAUGGUAACUAUGUAAAAGGUGGCUGUACUACCGCUUUUGGAUGGGCCCGCGGGGCAUUAGCUAGUUGGUAGGGUAAAGGCUUACCAAGGCAAUGAUGCGUAGCCGAAUUGAGAGGUUGAUAGGCCACAUUGGGACUGAGACACGGCCCAAACUCCUGCGGGAGGCAGCAGUAGGGAAUCUUCCACAAUAGUCGAAAGCCUGAUGGAGCAACGCCGCGUGUGUGAAGAAGGUCUUCGGAUCGUAAAACCCUGUUGUUAGUGAAGAAAGUGCUUGAGAUUAACUGUUCACGUUUCGACGGUAUCUAACCAGAAAGCCACGGCUAACUACGUG